CACAAAAAGACAGUCUCAGUUCAGAUUGUAGGCUGAAACUCGCCUAUAUGAAGUCGGAAUUGCUAGUAAUCGCAGAUCAGCAUGCUGCGGUGAAUACGUUCCCGGGCCUUGUACACACCGCCCGUCACACCAUGAGAGUCGAUAACACCCGAAGCCUGUAGUCUAACCAUAAGGAGGACGCAGUCGAAGGUGGGAUUGAUAAUUAGGGUGAAGUCGUAACAAGGUAUC
rnacentral:rRNA from 1 species